UCAGUUCGGAUUGUAGUCUGCAACUCGACUACAUGAAGCUGGAAUCGCUAGUAAUCGCGAAUCAGAAUGUCGCGGUGAAUACGUUCCCGGGUCUUGUACACACCGCCCGUCACACCAUGGGAGUUGGGAAUGCCCGAAGCCGGUGACCUAACCGAAAGGGAGGAGCCGUCGAAGGCAGGCUUGAUAACUGGGGUGAAGUCGUAACAAGGUACC
rnacentral:rRNA from 1 species